CAAUAGCGUAUAUUAAAGUUGUUGCAGUUAAAAAGCUCGUAGUUGAAUUUUUGCUUGCCGCCGAUGUCGGAACUUCCGUACGUUCGGCGGCGUGCAUCCUUGGGUGGAACCUGUGUGGCAUUAGGUUGUCGUGCAGGGGAUGCUCAUCGUUUACUGUGAAAAAAUUAGAGUGUUCAAAGCAGGCUUACGCCGUUGAAUAUAUUAGCAUGGAAUAAUAAGAUAGGACCUUGGUACUAUUUUGUUGGUUUGCGCACCGAGGUAAUGAUUAACAGGGACAGUUGGGGGUAUUCGUAUUCCAUUGUCAGAGGUGAAAUUCUUGGAUUUCUGGAAGAUGAACUACUGCGAAAGCAUUUACCAAGGAUGUUUUCAUUA
rnacentral:rRNA from 1 species